rnacentral:tRNA from 1 species
AUUUGGGUAGCUUAAUUUAAAAAGUUUAAUGUUGAAAUCAUUAAGAUAGGGUUCUUCCAGAUA